AUUGAACGCUGGCGGCAUGCCUUACACAUGCAAGUCGAACGGUAACGGGCCUUCGGGUGCCGACGAGUGGCGAACGGGUGAGUAAUGUAUCGGAACGUACCUUUCAGUGGGGGAUAACGUAGCGAAAGUUACGCUAAUACCGCAUAUUCUGUGAGCAGGAAAGCAGGGGAUCGCAAGACCUUGCGCUGAUUGAGCGGCCGAUUUCAGAUUAGCUAGUUGGUGAGGGAAAGGCUCACCAAGGCGACGAUCUGUAGCGGGUCUGAGAGGAUUAUCCGCCACAAGGGAACUGAGACACGGUCCAGACUCCUACGGGAGGCAGCAGUGGGGAAUUUUGGACAAUGGGGGCAACCCUGAUCCAGCCAUGCCGCGUGGGUGAAGAAGGCCUUCGGGUUGUAAAGCUCUUUCGGCCGGGAAGAAAUCGCACGGGCUAAUACCCUGUGUUGAUGACGGUACCGGAAUAAGAAGCACCGGCUAACUACGUGCCAGCCGCCGCGGUAAGAC
rnacentral:rRNA from 1 species